GAGCACGUAGCUCAGUCGGUAGAGCACCUGACUUUUAAUCAGGUUGUCGUGGGUUCGAUUCCCACCGUGCUCACCA
rnacentral:tRNA from 1 species